UUGACUUAAACAAAACUUGACUUAAAUAGGAUUCGAAUAAUCCUAUCAGGUGGUGCUAUUAAGUUAGACAUGGCCUGGACCAAUCUUUGGUCGAAACAUAUCUAAGUUUAUCUAAGUCUAAACACAUCGCUGCCAUUUCAUUCCCAGAACAACAACACAUCUUUCAGAAUCUUCUCAUUGGUUAUAUAUUACUCUGAAAAGGCCAUAAACAACUUCUUUUCACAGAUUUAAUAAUAAUAAGAAGAAGAAGAAUGACAACAACAAUCUGAGCCAAAAGGGAGCCUAUAGUCGUUCUACCAAUGAGAAAUAACCGAACCAUCUUUAGAAAAUGACACCGUUCCAAAAUUACUAAAUGCGAAAAAAUAACAAACAGAAAAAAUUAAAACAGACAGAUGAUCACGUAUUGAACGAUCUUUAUUUGUUGGAUUUAGACUGACCUUCGGCUUAAACAUCAAUAAUUUGGUCUCAGUUCUGUUGAGUUCUAUGGUGUUCGCCACAUUUAUGUAGACAGAGGGGAAAUAUCUAUUGCAAGUGAUGCACACAGGAGUUCUGCUUUUAAUGGAAUCAAGAAUUUCGGUGUCCAGUAAUGCAAAAAUCUCAAUUCUUCUAUCACCGCAUCAAUCUGAAAACAUCGCAACUUUCAAUAAGCUAUAGAUUUACGUCAGUAUUUUUAUUCUAAUUAUCUGAAUUUAAUAUUGUAGCCCUUUUAAGAAGCAUAUUAUAGCACCAUCAACUUCAGAAUUGAUAGGAAUGCAUCUAGACACACAACAUUAAAAUUUCUAAAGCCAUUCUAAAUAUCAUAGACAAAAUUUUCCAAGUGAAGAACAAGACCAAAUCGAAAGAACAUAAAUAUCAAUACACGAUACAAUAUUUAUAUAGAUAACAACAACAGCAACAAAUAAUGGCUUCUAUUGAUGAACGUAUCAAGUCAUAUGUAAUUUCCAUAUUAACUAUAUUCAUGAUGUGCCAAUUUCUGUUGGCAAUUCUAGCAUCCCAAAGAACUCCCGUUGGCACUCUCUCUUUCAGUUACAGGAACACACAGGCGAUAUUUCAGGAUGAUUUCACUUACAAAACGAAUGACAUUGACUGUAAGAAAGUAUUUUCGGGUGAUGAAAAGGAAAUAAAACGAUGCUUAAAAUUUGACAAAAAAUACGAGGCGAUUACAUUAAAGACUUACAUGAAUUGGACUCUUAACUGUGAAAAAUUCCGACAGGAACGUCAUUACGACAAAUACAUCGUGAGCGUGGCUGAGGAAGGAUUUCCCAUCGCCUACUCAAUUGUGUUUCACAAAGACUUGGAACAAUUGGAAAGGUUACUCCGUAGUAUCUAUCGCCGACACAAUGUCUAUUGCUUGCAUGUGGACAAGAAAGCCAAUAAGGAAUUCAUGUUAGCGGUUAAGGCUCUUGCAAACUGUUUCGAUAAUGUAUUUAUAGCAUCUAAACUAGAGACUAUUGUUUAUGCUUCAAUGAGUCGACUUCAGGCUGACUUUAACUGCCUGCAGGAUUUGUUGAAAACCAAAACGCGAUGGAAAUAUCUUAUCAAUCUUUGUGGUCAAAGUUUCCCGUUAAAAACUAAUUCCGAAAUAGUCAAAAUCCUGAAGAUAUAUAAUGGUUCUAAUGAUAUAGAAGGAUUGACAAAUGGAAAAGCAUUACUGAGUCGUUCCAAAUUCAAAUACAAGAUAAUCAAAAAGAACAAAACACGGGAUGAACUUAUAUUGGUCAAAACGAAAAUACGUCAGCCAGAUCCACCUCAUAAAAUCCGUCUAGUUAAAGGUAGCGCAUAUGGAGUGUUUUCCAGGGAUUUCGUGCACUAUGUGAGCACGAGCAAUAUAUCCAAGAAUUUUCAGAAAUGGGUCGCCGAUGUGUACAGUCCUGAUGAGUUCUUCUGGUCAACAUUACAUCAUGCUGCUUUCAACCCGCAUCUUAAUGUUCCUGGAUCCUACAGUGAGACGAAGAACUCAUGUUCGAACAUGUGGCUAGCUGCGAUUGCGCACCAAUGAAAAGAUCCCAAAAGGCUGAAAUGAAUUUGGCGGUCUCACCGGCUGUUGCUAGGACGAAUUUUGGUCUCUCACUGGUAUUUAUUGUGUUUUUGAUACAGCAAGACCAUAUGAGAUUUUAUCUCAGGACAAAUACUGAAAUAACUGGUAUAUCAACAGACAUCCUGAAUCCAAAUUAUGGCUUGCUUCUUACUCGGCUUGGAAAGGUGUUGAUCGUUGCUAUGGUAAAUGGGUACGUGGUGUGUGCGUAUUUUCAUCAAAAGAUCUCCCGAAUAUUUUCAAGAAGAACCACCUC
rnacentral:misc_RNA from 1 species